rnacentral:rRNA from 1 species
GAUAAACGCUGGCGGCGUGCCUAACACAUGCAAGUCGAACGCCCUUUUGCGCAAGUGAGAGGGAGUGGCGGACGGGUGAGUACCACGUGGGUACCUACCUUGAGGUGAGGAAUACCACCGAGAAAUCGGUGACAAGACCGCAUACGCUUGGCAACAAGCAAAGUCUCGCAAGAGACGCCACAAGAUGGGCCUGCGCCUGAUUAGCUAGUUGGUGAGGUAAUGGCNCACCAAGGCGACGAUCAGUAGCUGGUCUGAGAGGAUGAUCAGCCACACUGGGAUUGAGAACGGCCCAGACUCCGUACGGGGGCGA